UUCCUACGGGAGGCAGCAGUAGGGAAUCUUCGGCAAUGGACGAAAGUCUGACCGAGCAACGCCGCGUGAGUGAAGAAGGUUUUCGGAUCGUAAAACUCUGUUGUUAGAGAAGAACAAGGAUGAGAGUAGAACGUUCAUCCCUUGACGGUAUCUAACCAGAAAGCCACGGCUAACUACGUGCCAGCAGCCGCGGUAAUACA
rnacentral:rRNA from 1 species